GGGGGGUCACACUGGACCGAUCUCUUUGUUGUGUUUGUCUAUUUUCAUUGUGGGGUGCAGUUUUUAUUCACAUUAUUUGUCAAUGGAGUAAAAAAAAUAGCAUUCGCUGCACAGCCGUAGUGUCGACGUCCACGAAAUAAACUGCGCAAACCUACAAUAUAAACUAAAUGGCAAUAUAUGCAUAAAUGUUUAUAUAUUUUAAUAUGACGUUGGUGGUACUUGCAGUAGAACACACUGUGGAAAUACCCAAUAUACAAGGGGGGUUGACCGUGCACAAUGUACCGGGGUCUCUACGGUAACGAGGUGCGUGGCAGCCAUGGCAACGUGCUCCGCCACACGGUCAGCAAGUGUGCGGCUGCUGCUGCACGCUCCGUUACUCCUCGGGUAUGUAAGAGGACGGUGUGCAAAUAGCAGCGUGUCGUCCAAAUAACCAAAAAAAACCUUUUGAUUGGCGACCCCCCAGUCCGGUGUGAGGAUGACGUAAUGCAUCGAGAUUGUGGCAGGCCUCAAGGUAAUCUCAAGGUAAUGGUAAUCGUGUGAUUCUGUCAUAUUGGAUUAAAACGUCCAAAGUAUAACGUAUACAGUAUGCAUAUGAAGUCAAAGUUAAUAAUAAUAAACAGGGCGUGCUUUUGUUGCGUCUCAACCACAGUUGCUAUGUCUGAAAUGAAAGGUCACCAACCACAAGUGUUUUUUUGUGUAAUGGUUAGGCCACAAUUUAGUUAUAGCUAAUUAUAUGAUGAUUUUUAGUCAGUAAACCCUUUUUCUGUAACAUUGAUUCCCGCAGUCCUAAUUUCUCAUGGUUGAUGACCAUUCUAGGAAAUGAUUUUGUUAACCGUAACAAUUUAAUACCAUUAAAGGGAUCAUGAUGGAAAGGUUACAGUGAGCUCGCGCUUGGCACUCCACACAUAAUAUAAGUCCAUUUAGUAUAAUUCUUUUUGUAAUAUUGGGCUGUCUUUUUAUAUCAAUUCAUCAUAUUGUUAUGACAAACUCCACAGAUUCAUGUUUUCAUACAAUCUUACAAACUAAUCUGACCAAAAUGUUAUUCUGUGCUCCAUAAUACAGAUAUUAAUAUAAUGUAAUGCAAUUUAGAAAUGAAAGCAUUCUUUUUAUUAAAACUUACAAAAGCCCAGUGAGGCAAAUGUGUCUACAGAUGGCAACCAAAAUAAUAGUUAACGUAGAAAGUGUAUUUUUUUUAUUUCAAACUUUUUCUUACAUCCAGAAAGGUAUUCACCUCAUACCUAACUCCCUUCUCCCUCCCCAAUUACAUUGACAAAAACUACUGUUCAUGACAUGGAGUUCCUCUCAGGUCCCCUUGAUCGACGUGAGCUGCUAUAAGGUGAAUGUAGUUUUUGUGAAAGAUGAUGGAGAGUUAGCUGUAGAUGGGUCAGAAGAUAGAAAG
ensembl:lncRNA